GCCAACGUAGCUCAGUGGUAGAGCAGCGGUUUUGUAAACCGCAGGUCGUCGGUUCGACCCCGACCGUUGGCU
rnacentral:tRNA from 1 species